CGAUUACAUAUCUAGUCGACUCUCUUUUUUCUCUUUUGCCGAUCGUGUUUACACUCGUUUGCUUCGUUCCCGUCUAUUGCUCCGUGGAACACGUUGAAUGAAAGGCGUACGCGCGAGAUCAAUAGAAACGGAAACGAUGAAAAGGUUAGGGAUAAUCGAUAUCUACCAGCGCACCGAUGUCUCUGUAAUUGGAACUGAAAGGGAACGUAACGCGACACGUGACGCGUAUCGUACCGAAUCCUUUGUUGAUAGCUGCAACCUUGUUGCGGGUUACGCUGAGAACCCCUACGAGUGUUAUCGCGACUGAACGAUACCUUGAUUCACGUUUAAUUACGUUAAACAAAAGAUGAAACCCGCGAAAUGUCAAUAGUAGCUUAAUCGGAGGGAGAUGUUUAUCGAGAUUCCUCGUGGCUAAUUUCUCAGUUUCGAUCGGUAACAUGCUUAGAAAAUGAUACAGAUCUCCGUACGAAAUAAAUAGAUAUUGAUAAGUAGACUACACACGUGUGUUAUGUUUUGUAAAUAUUUGCAGGAACUAAAUCAAUGUUCGAUCAUAAUGCUCGAGAACUUAGUUCCGGCAACUACCAAAAACUCGAUGCUAUACGUCAAUAUCGUCGGUACUCCUCGACCUCACUAGCAUGAAGAAAUUCAUCCAUCAAACUUUUUAAUUAGGUCGAUCAAAAUCAAUUACUCGUUUAUGGGGACAGUGUUAAUAGAUUAAUUCCCGACGUCGGAAACUUUAACGUUACUCUAUAUUCUUCGAUAUUUACCUUUUCUCUCGGAAGCGUCGUAAUAUGAAAUGCGCAUGCGCGCAAGCGUUUGUUAUUUUAUAGAAAUUAUACGAGAUGUAUAAGUAAACGAGAACCCUAUCAAUUAUCACGGAAACGUUUUAUCAUAAAGACGACAUCCUGGAAUUUUUGUGAGGGCAGAUAUGCGCGCGUGCCAAGCGCCAAAGAUAGAUAGCAGUCAGGAAUUUUUAGGCAAUCGGUCAUUUGUUCGACCAUAAGGUAAACACGAUGCCCACCAACGUAACUACGGAUAAAAAAGAAAAUCAUUCGACUCGCCCUCUAUGAAACAUUAUUGCAGCUAUCAACGUGUCUUGUUUAUGCUCGAAUGUAAUUAUCAAAAUUACAUACAAUAUGAAACACAUUGUGAAUUAUGGGAAGUUUGUGCAAAAAAAUAUUUAAGAUUCGAUAUUAGAGGUUAUGAACUCUCAUCGAUGUUUACAUGCAAAUACAUAUGAGGUUAAAAUAUUUUUCGUGUCUUUUAAUAGUUUGCGAAAUACUGAUUUAGAAAUUAAGAUACAAUGUUUUUCUUGUAUAAAGGGAAUAUUCCAUUCAUAUUUCAUACUAAAUAAGGAACACAAACGAUAGGUAAUUAUUUAUGUUACUCAUUGAUAACAUACGUGUAUAUGCGAAUUGUUGACCUGACCUGUGUUCAAAGUCAGUUAAUAUCACGACUUCAGAUUGUCUUACAUAAUAAAGAAAAAAGAAAGUUUAGAAUUCAUGUUUACAAACAUAAGAUAGAAUUGCGUAUGUGGCGCCCUCAUGGUUCGCGACUGUGAACUUAAGCAAUCGAUAACAUAGAAAUCUAGUAACGACUACAUUACCAUUCAAACAUUUGUUAUUAAACUUAUCAUUAUUAAAAAAGACAUGCAUUAAUCUUUGUCCCACAGAUUUUUCAUUUUUACAGACCUAUUCAAACGGUCAAAUUAUUAAUUGCAGCUGGAUAUUAAAUUUCAAAAUUGGAUCUACAAAAUUACUACGGAACUAUAAACUAUCCUCAUUGCUUAUAUCAACUAUAUUGCUAUUCACGAUAAACAUUUCACGUAAUAAGACACGAACUCAUUUUACGUCGUAAUUGAUAUUUCAAGUUGCAGGAACUGGUGCAUACUGCCAUCUGACAAGGCAGCGGUAGUCACUCGGACGACAAUCGCGAUUACUAAUUGAACGUUGCUAAUUGUCUAGCACAAUCCGUCCAACGGUACUUCAAAGCUGCAUACUUCGUUGCAUUCCCGUGUUCGUUUUAAGUCUCCACCGAAGUCAUUGGAGCCAGUUUCCCUUCAUAAUGAGUUUCCCUUACAAAGCACUCCGACGUCUAUUCAAUUUCCUCGGUGUUAUAGAUCUUCCUCCCUCGAGAAAUAACGGUUUGCCGCGCGGUAAGUGCAAAGGAAACGUAUAAGAAGUCUAUUGUUACCGACAGAAGAGGACAGGAGAAGCACAGAAAAUACUUAAUCCUCGUCUUCUGAUUCCUUAAAUAUUCAGCAACAAUACAACAAACAAAAAAAAAAAAUAAAAGUAAUGAAAAAACGAUAAAGAAACUCAAAAAAUCGAAGAGUUUCUUCGAGUAUAGGAUGAAAGAAGCGUGGAGGAUUUUCCUGAGCGAGACUAAGGGCGGUUCAGAGCGCAGCUAUCGAAGAAGUCUAAGCUCGAUCCCAAGAUCCUCUUUCCAUAGAUGGACCCGUGGGGGAUAAAAAAAGCACCUGACCAGUCUUUACCCGAGACUCGUCUGCGGACGAGGACUCCCGUUCCCUCGGAACCUAUGUCUACCAUGGAGGACACAAUGAGAACACGGUGCGCGCACAACAACAGCAGGUUGCGCGUCCAUUUAAAAGGAGAAACGUAGGUACAAUGCACUCCGAGUAACAAAACGAACGUCCACAUAGACACGGAGAAACGCGACGAGCUGCUCUGAGCCGAUGUUCGAUGAGCGUCUAUCUCGCUAAAUAGUUCAAGCUGUUGUUAAACAACCGUUUAUAGGAAAAACCUAUGUGUUCGACCAGGAACGCUUAAUCGCAUAGAAUAAGUUUCUUUCUCUCUCUCUCUUUUUCAUUUAACAAAUAAAACACAGUCCAGGUUAAAAUUAUGAAAAUCGCAUCUUAAUUUUUCCUGAUUUGGUAUUUAAUUUAACGAUCAUUGAAUGUUUGGUCAAUUUAUCGUUUGCGAAAAUACAUCGUUUGAAACAUGUAGAAUGUACCGAGUUUCCAACAUAUGGUAAAACACUACUCAUUCGAACGAAAUAUUUUCUUUUCACCAUUACUCAAAAUAUAUAUAUACAGGGUGGUUGGUAACUGAUGGUACAAGCGGAAAUGGGGCGAUUCUACGCGAAAAAGGAAGUCGAAAAUAUAGAAUAAAAAUUUUUUUUUAAUUUUUUUUUUUAAUUUUUCCAUCGAGACAACGAUCUACAGUGAGAUCCGUUAUAACGAGACGCGAUAAAGUGCACGCGUACCGAGCGAAAAUUCAAAGUCGAUUUUCUCGAAAACAAAGCCUCGAACGAAAAAUUUGUAUUCUAUAUUUUCGACUUCUUUUUUCGCGUAGAAUCACCCCCUUUCCGCUUGUACCAUCAGUUGUACUUGUAUCAACCACCCUGUAUAUGUUUCGCGAGUUACAUAUUUUCACUUUAUCAUUUUAAUUAUAAUUCUGUCGGAAGGUGGUAAAUUCAAAAAGCAAACGACCUGUUCAGACUUCCAACUCACUGUUUUCUAUCCGUCGAAAAUUCCCAGACUACGACAACAGCUGACGAUACAUCGAGAAGACCCCGAGACACCUGGCCAAGG